GAUUGAACGCUGGCGGAAUGCUUUACACAUGCAAGUCGAACGGUAAAAGGAUUUAUCCACCUUAGGAAGAGCUCGCGUCUGAUUAGCUUGUUGGUAAGGUAAUGGCUUACCAAGGCGACGAUCAGUAGCUGGUUUGAGAGGACGACCAGCCACACUGGGACUGAGACACGGCCCAGACUCCUACGGGAGGCAGCAGUGGGGAAUUUUCCGCAAUGGGCGAAAGCCUGACGGAGCAAUACCGCGUGAGGGAUGACGGCCUAUGGGUUGUAAACCUCUUUUUCAGGGAGGAACAAAAUGACGUGUACCUGAAGAAUAAGCAUCGGCUAACUCCGUG
rnacentral:rRNA from 1 species